rnacentral:rRNA from 1 species
GUUGGCCUCGGAUCAGGUGGGGAUACCCGCUGAACUUAAGCAUAUCAAUAAGCGGAGGAAAAGAAACCAACAGGGAUUGCCUCAGUAACGGCGAGUGAAGCGGCAACAGCUCAAAUUUGAAAUCUGGCGCAAGCCCGAGUUGUAAUUUGCAGAGGAUGUUUCGGGUGAAGCCACGGUCCAAGUCCCUUGGAACAGGACGUCAUAGAGGGUGAGAACCCCGUACCUGGCCGUCGGUGCCCCCCGCUGUGAAACUCCUUCGACGAGUCGAGUUGUUUGGGAAUGCAGCUCUAAAUUGGUGGUAAAUUCCAUCUAAAGCUAAAUACCGGCCAGAGACCGAUAGCGCACAAGUAGAGUGAUCGAAAGAUGAAAAGCACUUUGAAAAGAGAGUUAAAAAGUACGUGAAAUUGUUGAAAGGGAAGCGCUUGCGGCCAGACUUGCCCGCGGUUGCUCAGCCCGCCUUUUGGCGGGUGCACUCUUCCGCGGUCAGGCCAGCAUCGGUUUGGGCGGCCGGAUAAAGGCGCCGGGAACGUGGCCUCCCCUCGGGGAGGUGUUAUAGCCCGGCGUGCAAUGCGGCCAGCCCGGACCGAGGUUCGCGCUCUGCUAGGAUGCUGGCGUAAUGGCCGUAAGCGGCCCGUCUUGAAACACGGACCAAGGAGUCUAACAUCUAUGCGAGUGUUUGGGUGUCAAACCCGUGCGCGUAAUGAAAGUGAACGGAGGUGGGAACCGCAAGGUGCACCAUCGACCGAUCCUGAUGUCUUCGGAAGGAUUUGAGUAAGAGCAUAGCUGUUGGGACCCGAAAGAUGGUGAACUAUGCGUGAAUAGGGUGAAGCCAGAGGAAACUCUGGUGGAGGCUCGCAGCGGUUCUGACGUGCAAAUCGAUCGUCAAAUUUGCGUAUAGGGGCGAAAGACUAAUCGAACCAUUU